rnacentral:tRNA from 1 species
AGUUCGGUCGUCCAAGGGAAGGACGCCUGAUUUGCAUUCAGGAGAUGUGGGUUCAAUUCCUGUCUGAACUCC